UACGAAGGGGGCUAGCGUUGCUCGGAAUCACUGGGCGUAAAGCGCACGUAGGCGGAUUGUUAAGUCAGGGGUGAAAUCCUGGAGCUCAACUCCAGAACUGCCUUUGAUACUGGCGAUCUUGAGUCCGGGAGAGGUGAGUGGAACUGCGAGUGUAGAGGUGAAAUUCGUAGAUAUUCGCAAGAACACCAGUGGCGAAGGCGAGUCUCUGGACAACUCCUGACACUGAGGCACGAAAGCUAGGGGAGCAAACAGG
rnacentral:rRNA from 1 species